CUGGCUAGAGAUGAAAUGAGAGAUACUGAAAAACAGAAUGAAAGGUCCAUCGCACAUACUGUAGUAGAAAACAAAGUGCCAAGUUGUUGUUAGUGUCUUGAAGGGUGAAGACUUUCGGAAUCUUGAUUAAGUUAAGAUUAAGGAGUGGAAUUAUUUCUGUAUGUCUUCAGAAAGCUAGCAUUCUCCACUGCAGAAUGAAUUGCAAGACUGGCUGGAAAUCAUUUUUAAUAAAAUUUCCAUAAUGUAUCUUAUGUAAUUGAAGCUUCAGGACAUGGGGCUUGAAAUUGACUUCCGUUUACUUCCCCGAAAAUAGCUUUAGAGCACUUCUUAGUGGGUCCAAGAGGUCAGUAUUCCCAUUGCUGAUAAUCCACAAUUUUGGAGAGAUGAUCAAAGUGCAAAUGAAAAUGCUUAGAAGUCUAGAGUUGGGG
rnacentral:lncRNA from 1 species